rfam:Salmo salar isolate Sally breed double haploid chromosome ssa26, whole genome shotgun sequence.
UAUGCUUACAUUUGUAAGUCGCUCUGGAUAAGAGCGUCUGCUAAAUGACUUAAA